rnacentral:rRNA from 1 species
CCUACGGGAGGCAGCAGUGAGGAAUAUUGGUCAAUGGGCGCGAGUCUGAACCAGCCAAGUAGCGUGAAGGAUGACUGCCCUACGGGUUGUAAACUUCUUUUAUAAAGGAAUAAAAUGAGGCACGUGUGCCUUUUUGUAUGUACUUUAUGAAUAAGGAUCGGCUAACUCCGUGCCAGCAGCCGCGGUAAUACGGAGGAUCCGAGCGUUAUCCGGAUUUAUUGGGUUUAAAAGGAGUGUAGAUGGGGUGUUUAGUCAGUUGUGAAAGUUUGCGGCUCAACCGUAAAAUUGCAAUUGAUACUGGCAGUCUUGAGUACAGUGGAGGUAGGCGGAAUUCGUGGUGGAGCGGUGAAAUGAUUAGAUAUCAAGAAGAACUCCGAUUGCGAAGGCAGCUUACUAAACUGCCACUGACAUUGAUGCUCGAAAGUGUGGGUAUCAAACAGGAUUAGAUACCCUAGUAGUC